rnacentral:rRNA from 1 species
UAGGGAAUCUUCCACAAUGGGCGCAAGCCUGAUGGGGCAACGCCGCGUGUGUGAUGAAGGCUUUCGGGUCGUAAAGCACUGUUGUAUGGGAAGAAAUGCUAGAAUAGGGAAUGAUUCUAGUUCGACGGUACCAUACCAGAAAGGGACGGCUAAAUACGUGCCAG